rnacentral:ncRNA from 1 species
UGACCUCAAAUCAGGUAGGAUUACCCGCUGAACUUAAGCAUAUCAAUAAGCGGAGGAAAAGAAACCAACUGGGAUUACCUUAGUAACGGCGAGUGAAGCGGUAAAAGCUCAAAUUUGAAAUCUGGUACUUUCAGUGCCCGAGUUGUAAUUUGUAGAAUUUGUCUUUGAUUAGGUCCUUGUCUAUGUUCCUUGGAACAGGACGUCAUAGAGGGUGAGAAUCCCGUUUGGCGAGGAUACCUUUUCUCUGUAAGACUUUUUCGAAGAGUCGAGUUGUUUGGGAAUGCAGCUCAAAGUGGGUGGUAAAUUCCAUCUAAAGCUAAAUAUUGGCGAGAGACCGAUAGCGAACAAGUACAGUGAUGGAAAGAUGAAAAGAACUUUGAAAAGAGAGUGAAAAAGUACGUGAAAUUGUUGAAAGGGAAGGGCAUUUGAUCAGACAUGGUGUUUUUUGCAUGCACUCGCCUCUCGUGGGCUUGGGCCUCUCAAAAAUUUCACUGGGCCAACAUCAAUUCUGGCAGCAGGAUAAAUCAUUAAGAAUGUAGCUACUUCGGUAGUGUUAUAGCUUUUUGGAAUACUGUUAGCCGGGAUUGAGGACUGCGCUUCGGCAAGGAUGUUGGCAUAAUGGUUAAAUGCCGCCCGUCUUGAAACACGGACCAAGGAGUCUAACGUCUAUGCGAGUGUUUGGGUGUAAAACCCGUACGCGUAAUGAAAGUGAACGUAGGUUGGGGCCUUCGGGUGCACAAUCGACCGACCUUGAUGUUUUCGGAUAGGUUUGAGUAAGAGCAUAGCUGUUGGGACCCGAAAGGA